AAAUCUACACACAACAAAUAAAUGCCAACGAUGAUGUGAAUUCGUCACUACGGUAACAACAACUUA
rnacentral:sRNA from 16 species